rnacentral:rRNA from 1 species
UCCAGCUCCAAUAGCGUAUAUUAAAGUUGUUGCAGUUAAAAAGCUCGUAGUUGGAUUUCUGGUGGGAGCGAUCGGUCUGACACUUUGUGUGAGUACUCGUAUUGUCUCCGGCCAUCCUUGGGCGGAGCCUGUCUGGCAUUAAGUUGUCGGGCAGGGGAUGCCCAUCGUUUACUGUGAAAAAAUUAGAGUGUUCAAAGCGGGCUUACGCUUGAAUAUAUUAGCAUGGAAUAACACUAUAGGACUCCUGUCCUAUUUUGUUGGUCUUCGGGACGGGAGUAAUGAUUAAGAGGAACAGUUGGGGGCAUUCGUAUUUCAUUGUCAGAGGUGAAAUUCUUGGAUUUACGGAAGACGAACUACUGCGAAAGCAUUUACCAAGG